rnacentral:rRNA from 1 species
UACCAGCACCCCGAGUGGUCGGGACGUUUAUUGGGCCUAAAGCAUCCGUAGCCGGUUCUACAAGUCUUCCGUUAAAUCCACCUGCUUAACAGAUGGGCUGCGGAAGAUACUAUAGAGCUAGGAGGCGGGAGAGGCAAGCGGUACUCGAUGGGUAGGGGUAAAAUCCGUUAUCAUUCGAAUGACCACCAGUGGCGAAGGCGGCUUGCCAGAACGCGCUCGACGGUGAGGGAUGAAAGCUGGGGGAGCAAAC